rnacentral:rRNA from 1 species
GAUGAACGCUGGCGGCGUGCCUAAUACAUGCAAGUCGAGCGAACAGACGAGGAGCUUGCUCCUUUGACGUUAGCGGCGGACGGGUGAGUAACACGUGGAUAACCUACCUAUAAGACUGGGAUAACUUCGGGAAACCGGAGCUAAUACCGGAUAACAUGUUGAACCGCAUGGUUCAACAGUGAAAGACGGUCUUGCUGUCACUUAUAGAUGGAUCCGCGCCGCAUUAGCUAGUUGGUAAGGUAACGGCUUACCAAGGCAACGAUGCGUAGCCGACCUGAGAGGGUGAUCGGCCACACUGGAACUGAGACAUGGUCCAGACUCCUACGGGAGGCAGCAGUAGGGAAUCUUCCGCAAUGGGCGAAAGCCUGACGGAGCAACGCCGCGUGAGUGAAGAAGGUCUUCGGAUCGUAAAACUCUGUUAUUAGGGAAGAACAAAUGUGUAAGUAACUAUGCACGUCUUGACGGUACCUAAUCAGAAAGCCACGGCUAACUACGUG